GUGUGCUCCUGGGAGCUUGCAGACAUGGAGCAAAUGCGAGCAGCUUGCAAGCCAGGACCCGGGUGCUCUGGGCCUUUGUCUUCCUCGCUGCUUGCUCCUCAUUUCCACGUGCAGUAAAUUCCCUCUUCUUGUUCCUAAAAUGAGAUGCCUGCCAGGAGGAAGAACUACAGAAAUGAUGCAAUGUGGAGCACUCGUGUGACUGAGCUAUGCAGAACAGUAUUAUUCUCUUAGUAUUUCAGACACACCGAAGGAAAAACUGCAGGCUUCCUCUACCUACACUGGGCCCCACCACUGACAGUGCCCACAGGUCCUCCUGGCAGCACCCAAGGCUGUGACUAUCAACAUGCACACUGCAGUAAGCACUCGUCACAAGGGGGACAGCACGCAGGCAAGAACUGAACACGUAGACCAAACACACCAGAACAGAAGAAAACACGCAACAGACACGAAUCCAAUCCCACAAGUUCACCCGGGGCCUGCAACACUUAAGGAGCACCUCAGAGCCAGGCUGGUCAGCAGGAAAGCCACCUGAUUUCCACACCACCCUGACAACUACUUCUACAGCUGGAACCACCGGUGGGGCCACCGAGGAGGAGGAGCACGCAGCACUGAAAGCUUACAACUGGUCACGUGGGCAGAGCAAACAACGGCUAGCUUGCCUUCCAUUAAAAAACAAAACAAAACAAACCCUGAACACACAAUGUUGCAAAUAACCUUUCAGCAGCACCUCUGACAACCAGUAUUGCAAGAGCUGAACCGUUGACAAGAUUCAAACCCCAUUUUCCCUCCCUCGGAAAGGUGGGUGACAUUUCCCGGGGGACGGGGGAUGCCCUUCUGACAGGUGUCCCCCUUCCACUCACUUCCUUUCUCCUCCACCAACUGGCCUCCAGCCUGAGAGGCCAGCGAGGAGAAAUGACAGACAGUAAGGCAAUCUUACAAUGUCAGAAAAAAAAUGUAUUUGGCUUUUUUUCUUUUUUAAAAUAAGUGCAUACAAAUACAGCUAGAAGCAUUUGUUUGCCAAGUGCUCUUUAAAAACAAACAAACAAAAAAAAAACAAAAAACAAAAUAAAACAAAAAAAAACAAAAGCAGCCAAGUCGCAGCCUACAAAGAACAGCAACUGUCACCCAAAGAGUCAAACACAGACAGCCUAACAACGUUAACAAAAGAAGAAAAUGCCUUAAAGUACAUACCUUUUGUCGUCAAAAAAAAUAUAGAAACACAAUGUAUUCAAAAAAAAUCAAAAUUAUACAGCCAUGUUAUGAAGUC
ensembl:antisense Gm26759 predicted gene, 26759